rnacentral:lncRNA from 1 species
UUGUCGAAAACUAUGUUUGAAUUUCUCAAAUUUGAAAUUCAAAUUUUAUAAAUGACUUCGAAUGGAGAAACUACCAAAAGUUGUAGAUCCUGAAAAGUUAUGAAACUUUGUAGUUGAUAAUUUUUCUAUUUGAAUCCGUUUAGGGCCUCAAACAAUCAAUGCAUGCUCGAUUUAGAAUAAUAUGUGGGGAACUAAACUCUAAUAUAGACACAAUUGAGUGAUGGGUGGAGUGGUAGAGGAGGUUACAUGUGAGGGCAAGGUCUUGGGUUCAAAUUCUAUCAGCCAUGUAAUAGGAGAUUGGCUAGUGGGCCUCCCUUGAGAUUAAAAUCUUUUAUUUUCUAUUUUUAAAAACCGAUUUCAUAUUUUCUAAAAAAAUAUUUCCAAUGGUGGUUGGAUGGAAUGGUAGAGGAGGUUACAUGUGAGGGCAAGGUCUUGGGGCUAGUGGGCCUCCCUGAGAUUAAAUCUUUUAUUUCCUAUUUCUAAAAGCCGAUUUCAUAUUUUCUAGAAAAAUAUUUCCACUGGCGGUUGGCAUAGAUUUUCACAGGCGAUUCUUUUAGCCAACCGCUAGUGCAAAGAUUUAUUUUUACUGGCCCCUAACGCUGGCGGUUACAAUUGAACAAGAUUUAUCUCGAAAAGUUUGACGAUCAGUUUAGAGACCGAGAUGAUACAAUUGAACAAGUUUAAAGGUCUGAAACAGACAACCUAUGAUUUU